rnacentral:rRNA from 1 species
AUACUGCAAGUCGGACGCUUCUUUCCUCCCGAGUGCUUGCACUCAAUUGGAAAGAGGAGUGGCGGACGGGUGAGUAACACGUGGGUAACCUACCCAUCAGAGGGGGAUAACACUUGGAAACAGGUGCUAAUACCGCAUAACAGUUUAUGCCGCAUGGCAUAAGAGUGAAAGGCGCUUUCGGGUGUCGCUGAUGGAUGGACCCGCGGUGCAUUAGCUAGUUGGUGAGGUAACGGCUCACCAAGGCCACGAUGCAUAGCCGACCUGAGAGGGUGAUCGGCCACACUGGGACUGAGACACGGCCCAGACUCCUACGGGAGGCAGCAGUAGGGAAUCUUCGGCAAUGGACGAAAGUCUGACCGAGCAACGCCGCGUGAGUGAAGAAGGUUUUCGGAUCGUAAAACUCUGUUGUUAGAGAAGAACAAGGACGUUAGUAACUGAACGUCCCCUGACGGUAUCUAACCAGAAAGCCACGGCUAACUACGUGCCAGCAGCCGCGGUAAUACGUAGGUGGCAAGCGUUGUCCGGAUUUAUUGGGCGUAAAGCGAGCGCAGGCGGUUUCUUAAGUCUGAUGUGAAAGCCCCCGGCUCAACCGGGGAGGGUCAUUGGAAACUGGGAGACUUGAGUGCAGAAGAGGAGAGUGGAAUUCCAUGUGUAGCGGUGAAAUGCGUAGAUAUAUGGAGGAACACCAGUGGCGAAGGCGGCUCUCUGGUCUGUAACUGACGCUGAGGCUCGAAAGCGUGGGGAGCAAACAGGAUUAGAUACCCUGGUAGUCCACGCCGUAAACGAUGAGUGCUAAGUGUUGGAGGGUUUCCGCCCUUCAGUGCUGCAGCAAACGCAUUAAGCACUCCGCCUGGGGAGUACGACCGCAAGGUUGAAACUCAAAGGAAUUGACGGGGGCCCGCACAAGCGG